rnacentral:rRNA from 1 species
GAUGAACGCUGGCGGCGUGCCUAAUACAUGCAAGUCGAGCGAACGGACGAGAAGCUUGCUUCUCUGAUGUUAGCGGCGGACGGGUGAGUAACACGUGGAUAACCUACCUAUAAGACUGGGAUAACUUCGGGAAACCGGAGCUAAUACCGGAUAAUAUUUUGAACCGCAUGGUUCAAAAGUGAAAGACGGUCUUGCUGUCACUUAUAGAUGGAUCCGCGCUGCAUUAGCUAGUUGGUAAGGUAACGGCUUACCAAGGCAACGAUGCAUAGCCGACCUGAGAGGGUGAUCGGCCACCCUGGGACUGAGACACGGUCCAGACUCCUACGGGAGGCAGCAGUAGGGAAUCUUCCGCAAUGGGCGAAAGCCUGAAGGAGCAACGCCGCGUGAGUGAUGAAGGUCUUCGGAUCGUAAAACUCUGUUAUUAGGGAAGACCAUAUGUGUAAGUAACUGUGCACAUCUUGACGGUACCUAAUCAGACAGCCACGGCUAACUACGUG